rnacentral:misc_RNA from 1 species
UCCGGCUUGUCACCGGGAGUCUUGUUAGAGUGCCCAACUGAAUGAUGGCAACUAACAACAGGGGUUGCGCUCGUUGCCGGACUUAACCGAACAUCUCACGACACGAGCUGACGACAGCCAUGCAGCACCUGUCACCAGGUUCCUCCGUGAGGAGGCACCUCCCACUUUCAUGGGAGUUCCUGGGAUGUCAAGGCCAGGUAAGGUUCUUCGCGUUGCGUCGAAUUAAAUCACAUACUCCACCGCUUGUGCGGGCCCCCGUCAAUUUCUUUGAGUUUUAGCCUUGCGGCCGUACUCCCCAGGCGGGGUGCUUAAUGCGUUAGCUUCGGCACGGGGGGAGUCGACACCCCCCACACCUAGCACCCAUCGUUUACG